rnacentral:lncRNA from 13 species
AUGUGUCCCAAUAGGUUCUUACAAAGAGUGUCCACCUUAGUCUCCAGCCCUGCAGAAGUCCCCAGUGUCUGUGGUGCUGAAGGAAUGACUAUUGAUACAAAUGUGUAUGCGAUAGAAGAACAACUGACAACUGGGCUUGCCUUUAAAAUACUAGAAUUGGCUGUUCAGGACUCAACUGCCCUCUGUGUUUUCUUCAUACUGUUUUCUUUUGUUGAGAUCCAUCAGCACAGUUCUGAACUGGGGUUUCAUCUAACUCUUGUGACUUUGACUCAUAGUUCCAGGUGGACCAGCACCUUUGGCAGAUGCAUUAACACUAUCCCAUGUGGAAAGAGUCAUUUUUCCAAAUCGGCAGCUCUCACACUAUUCAGAUUCGAGCUUAUGCUGUUAAAAGUCACCUAG